GGCCAAAUUAUUUUAUUAGUGACUCAGAAAGAGGAUUUUCCCUUUUACUGGGCUAAUACACCACACCUGAGGAGUUGGGGUAGUUACCAGAUCAGGUUUAUAUUGUAUAAACUGCAGACCACCACCAGUUCUGCUAGGUGCUGUUUCAGUAAAUUAAGAUAGUAUCGAUGAGAAGAUGCUGUUUUACAUACCAUUAAGAAGGAAAACUGGCUGCAAAUUAUCUUAAGGUACCAUUGAUUGAUUAAAAGAUGAAUCCUGAUCUGACAUGUUAAAAUGUUUGAGGCUGAUGCAGAAGGCAGUUUCCUCUCCACAAACCUCAUGGGUGUGCAGAAUGGUGUAGACACAGAGAUGGGUGCCUCACUUACCUCAUGCACAGACUGGCUUUUCCACCACAGGGCAGGCACUGUAUAAGCACCUUCCAUUCCUACACAGGCGCUAGUAGGGGGAACUAAGGCUUGGAGAAGCCAAGUAACUUUGCUAAAGGGUCAUAUAAUUAGUAGGAAGUAAGGCUGAGGUUCAAAACCAGGCCGGACAUCCAAUGUGCUGAAGCAAGCUACACCUCAUCUCACAAGAGAGGCGAAGACACGCUUGUUCCUUGUCCCAAGCACUCUUCAGGCCCAUUUCCUCCAAGAUGGUACUUGCUUGGUUUGACACUUUCAUCAAACAGGACCCCUUGUGAGCACACGGCCAUGCUCUGGUGAGCAGCCUGCCGCCCUGUCCACCUUUCUGGGUGGCUCUCUCUCUACUAAGCUUGGCUCCAAGGUCUAAGCAAGGCCCAGAGGAUCAAGCAGAGCUUCCUAGAGCUGGUGAAAGGGCUCAGGUGGGGUUCUGAGGCCCAGUGAGGUGACACUGGCCUCUGGGAAGGGCCAGCACAGGCAAGGACUCCAGCGGGAAAACUGACAGGGCAGAACUACCAAGUCCUUGGCCAAGCCUCUGGUUCGAAUGGUGGCAAGUGGGCUGUGGAUGAGGUCGGGGAGGAUGUAAGAGGAGGCGCUGGCACUGACAUGGCUGCCCAGGGGUGAGCCCAGAAGCCAUGGGAGUCUGGAGAGGAUGAGAGGAAGAGAUGCAGGGCUGGGCGUGACAGCACCACCCUUCAUCCGCUCCAGCUCUGCCCAUCCAGGUGUAAGCUCUGGGGCAGGGGAUUACCUGCUCUAGGCUUCCUUUUCCUCAACUGUGAAAUGGGGUGACAGUGGAAAGACCUCAGAGUUACUGUGAAGGUAUUUAGUUUUAAUCCCCAGUAACAGCCUGAAGAAUGGCUCCUGCCUUAAAGAGAGGGAACAGGAUGGCUUUUUUAAGUGGUGCAUCUCUGUGCUAUCUACCAUUCCAGAUACUGCCUGUACCGUACACCCUCCUCAGACAGAUGCUGCUAUCCUCUUUGAGAAACAGGAGAAUUAAGGCACAGAGAGGCAGAACCUGCCCAUUACCAUCACUUGUGCACUCAUUCAUUUAACAGACAUUUAU
rnacentral:lncRNA from 1 species